rnacentral:lncRNA from 1 species
GUAGGGCAUGGCCAUGGCACGAGUCGGGACGUCACUUGACUUGGCAGGGAGUGGCCAUGGCACGAGUCAGGACGCCGCAGGACGUGUCAGCACAUGGCAGUGGCACGUGUCAUGAUGGGUCAUGACAUGGCAGGGCGUGGCCAUGAUACGUGUUUGGACGGACAUGACCACGGUACGAGUCGGGACGUCGCAGGACAUGCAAGGGAGUGGCCAUUGCACGAGUCAGGACGUCACAGGACGCAUCGGGACAUGGCCAUAGUACGUGUCAGGACGCACCGGGACGCAUCAGGACGUGGUCAUGGCACGAGUUGGGACGUCCAGGACAUGGCAGGGCGUGGCCAUGGCGCGAGUCGGGACGUCGCAGGACAUGGCAGGGCUUGGCCAUGGCACGAGUCAGGACGUCGCAGGACAUGGCAGGGCGUGGCCAUGGCACGAGUCAGGGCGUCGUCCUGACGCGUCAGGACAUGGCCAUGACACGAGUGAGUACGUCAUAGGUUGCGUCAGGACAUGGCCAUAGCACGAGUCAGGACGUUGCAGGACACGUCAGGACAUGGCCAUAGUACGUGUCACGACGCAUCAGGAUAUGGCCAUGGCACGAGUCGGGACGACGCCCUGACUCGUGCCACGUGGCCAUAGCACGAGUCAAGAUGUCGCAGGACAUGGCAGGNNNNNNNNNNNNNNNNNNNNNNNNNNNNNNNNNNNNNNNNNNNNNNNNNNNNNNNNNNNNNNNNNNNNNNNNNNNNNNNNNNNNNNNNNNNNNNNNNNNNNNNNNNNNNNNNNNNNNNNNNNNNNNNNNNNNNNNNNNNNNNNNNNNNNNNNNNNNNNNNNNNNNNNNNNNNNNNNNNNNNAGAGUCGGGACGUCGCAGGACGCGUCAGGACAUGGCCAUGGCACGUGUCAGGGCGCGUCAGGACAUGGCCAUGGUACGUGUCAGGACGCGUUAGGAAAUGGGAGGGCGUGACUAUGGCACGAGUCGGGACGUCACAGGACAUGGCAGGCGUGGCCAUGGCACGAGUCAGGACGUCGCAGGAAGCGUCAUGACAUUGCCAUGGCACGUGUCAGGACGCGUCAGGACAUGGAAGGGCGUGGCCAUGGCACGAGCAGGACAUCGCAGGAUAUGGCAGGAUAUGGCCCUGGUACGUGUCAGGACGUGUCAAUACAUGGCCAUGGCACGACAUCGCACCUAGCCACACCACGUCACUCCAAGCCGCACCACGUCUAUGGCUUACCAAUUCUUUGGAACAUGUCAAGCGCAAUGAUGUUGGUGGUCGUUGGCGGCGGUGGUGGAAAGUCAGGGUGGUUCGAGCAGUAGCGUCCAGCGACGGCCGAUCGACGCUUGGUGGUUGGCUUCGGUUUCUUCAAAUCCUAAUCACUUGUUGUGGUUGGGCAACACGUCAAGCGCAAUGAUGUUGGUUGUCUUUGGUGGCGGUGGUGGAAAGUCACGGCGGUUCGAGCGGUAUCCACCUGCGACGGUUGGUCGAUGCUUUGUUGUUGGGGGCGGAUUUUUCAAAUCGGAAUCACUUAUUUUGGUUGCGACAAUGGAGGUGCCUCGUGCUUAUUGGCGUUUGGUCAUCUAUACGCUUUUAUAAUAAUGUUAUGUAUUUUUCCUAUUUUUUAAUAUAUUUUUUAGGAAUUUUUAUGCAUUUGUAUGCAUUUUUUUGUUACUUUAAAUUAUUUUUGUGUCACUUUUUAAUAAAAAUAUUAACUCUCUUAUAUGUUAUACUAUUCCAAGAUGUAUUGGAAUUUUUCUCCAUCAUUGUUUCUAUUUUUAUAAUAAUUUUCAUAUUUUUUAGUAUUUUAUUAAGUAUUUUUCAUUUUAAAACAAAAAUAGUUACAAAAAAAUUUUCUUAUAAAAAAUAUCAUUUACAAUGUUUAAAAGUCAUUUGUCAAUAUAUUAACCAAGUUGCACUCAAUAUUUCAAAAAAAUAUUAAUUUUAUGUAGAAAAAUACCAUUUACAAUGUUUAGAAGUAAUUUGUUAAUAUCUUAGCCAAGUUGUACUUUGGUUUGUGCUAUUUGGUGUUGUACAUGUCUAUUAUGAUUAUCUGGCCAAAACAUGUCUACUCUGAAACUUGAUUCUUAUUUUAAGUAUAUAUAAGGGGGGUAGAGGAGUUGAGAGACACCUCAGGUGCUUGCUGCCAGGAAGGGGCGGGCAUGCAUGGGGGACGGUGGCAUGGGGCGUGGGCUUUGGGGGCAUUCACAGCUUGUCCGUGCUACGUCCUCGAUGUUCCUAAACCGUGCCGGCAAGUACUCGUGUUGGCUUGUAGUACGCCUGGUGGUGGAACCGCUCGUGAAAAACAUUGGUUUUUGGCAACGAACAGUAGAGUGUCAUGCAAGUAGCGCCGCAAGGUGUCGUGCGCAUGGGGCGAAGCUCAGUACUUGUUGAUCGCCAUUCGAUGUUGCGGGCAAAAUCGGGAGGCGACAUCGCGAGUGGCGGCUGAUGGCUUUUGACAACAGAACGGCAAAGUGUCGUGCAAGUAGCGCCGCAAUGUGCCGUGCGCAUGGGACAAAGCUUAGUAAGUUGUUGUUGAUUGCCAUCGGUUGUUGUGGGUUGUGUCUAGAAUCUCUCGUGGUGGCUGAUAUCUUUCGACAACGAACGGCGGAGCGUCGUGCAGGUAGCGCCGCAAGGUGUCGUACGCAUGGGGCGAAGCUCAGUAGAUGUCGAUUGCCAUCGGUUGUUGCGGGCAACAUCGCUCAUGGCGGUUGAUGGCUUUCAGCAAUGGAACGGCGGAGCGUCGUGCAAGUAGCGCCACAAGGUGCGUGCACAUGGGGCAAAGCUUAGUAAGUUGCCUAUUGCCAUCGAUUGUUGUCGUUUGUGUCUGUAAACCCCCCUCCGUGGUGACUUAUAGCAUUUGACAAUGAACGGUGGAGCAUCGUGCAAGUAGCGCCGCAAGGUGCCGUGCGCACGGGGCGAAGCUCAAUAGAUGUUCAUUGCCAUCGGUUGAUGCGGGAAACAUCGGGAGGCGACAUCGCUCGUGGCAGCUGAAGGCUUUUGGCGUAAAAUGGAAAAGCAUCGUGCAAGUAGCACCGCAAGGUGCCGUGCGCACGGGGUGAAGCUUAGUAAGUUGCUGAUAGCCAUCGGUUGUUGCGGGCAACAUCGGGAGGCAACACCGCUCGUGGCAGCUGAUGGAUUUUGGCAACAAAAUGGAAAAGCAUCAUGCAAGUAGCGCCACAAGGUGUCGUGCGCAUGGGGCGAAGCUUAGUAAGUUGCCAAUUGCAAUCGGUUGUUGCGGGCAACAUCGGGAGGCGAUAUCGCUAGUGGUGGCUGAUGGCUUUUGACAACAAAAUGGCAAAGCAUCGUGCAAGUAGCGCCGCAAGGUGCCGUGCUCACGGGGCGAAGCUUAGUAUGUUGGUGAUUGCCAUCAGUUGUUGCGGGAAACAUCGGAAGGCGACAUUACUCGUGGCGGCUGAUGGCUUUUCGCAAUGGAACGGCAAAGCAUCGUGCAAGUAGCGGCGCAAGGUGCCAUGCGCAUGGGGCGAAGCUUAUUAAAUUUCCUACCGCCAUCGGUUGUUGUGGGUUGUGUCUGGCAUUGUUCAAAACCCCUAUUCGUGCUUUCGGGGCUUGUCUUGGCUUUGCAAUGUUCGCAUCGGCAACAACACAUGGUUGCGCGUCAUGUGUUGGGGAUGGUGUUGGCUUUGUAUCGGCGAGGCAAGUGUACGUGCCACACAUGAGUGGUGUUCGGCUUGUGUGGCUAGGUUGGAUCCCUGCUCGAGCAGCUACAUCCUAGCUUGCAUGCCAUCUCAAUCAUGUCACAAGCGCAAAUUAGGCUUGUUGGACGUCGGUUUUCUCUGUUGCAUACCUAAUUCCAAGGCAUUAUCAAGCAAAAUCGGUCGCCUUUCGACCCUCGCGUUUGACGUGCGGGGUGAACCAAAAGCUGCAGUUGUGUCCCAGGUCGUCCUGGCUUCGCCUUGCGAUGAAUUGGUCCACGACUUAGCAUGUUUGGGCUCUCGGAUUUGGUAAACGCAAUGGGCACGGUAUCACGCUCCGCCCUUUUUCUAAGAGGUUAUGCCACGCGGGCGAUGACUGCGCGAAACGAAGGCGAUGAUUUGGCGCACGCAUGGCACCCUUUUCUAGACAAGUCUAGAUCUUUCCACAAAUGGAAGACUCUAGACCCAUCUUGUAUAUAAGAUGUUUGUAGAGAUUUGUAGAGAUUUGUAGAGUUUUCUAGGAUUUUGAUCUUAGCCAUUAAUUAAAAUAGAUCUUAGCCGUUGGUUAGGGACACUAGCAACUAUAAAUAGGCUAGCAAUUGGCAUUUGCCAUCAUAGAAGAAGAUAGAAGACAUAGAAGAAAACAAUCAAGCAAUCCAACACUCUUGUACAAAGUUCUCUUGUUUAAUACAAUGUUUUCUCACAAGCUUCUCUUCUUAGCUUCUCUUAGCUUUGUUGUGGUGUUAGUUUGGGGAAAGGCUGACUUAGCACAUUGCAGGGGUGAAUUGUGACUAAGGCCGCACGGAAGAUAGCCAGGGAGUUAUCCGGUCCUUGACAGUUGGUAUCAGAGCAACACUACGAAAGGGUUCGUGGCUUACCUUUGGCACAUACAUGACAUGGCUAGCUGUGGUGAGGAGCAAGUUCGCAAGGGUCGCGAGGAGGAGUGCACCAUCCUACCAACACAUAAGGGAGGUAAGUCUCGUGACGUUCUUGCUAGUUUUGAAGCUCGUUUAAUUAAGCUUGAGAUAGCUAUGGCGGACACAAAAGAGAGGUUGGAUCGCAUGGAGCAAACCAUAGAAGAGUACGGCGAGAAGGUUGACACCUCGUUGGAUACUUUCCAAGAGAGGAUUGAUGUUGAUUGGAUGACACGGAGCAAACCUUAGAAGAGUACGGCAAAAAGGUUGACACCUCGUUGAAUACUUUCCAAGAAAGGAUUGAUGCUGCUGGGGCAGAGUUAGCCAACGAGAAUAGCUUGUUUUAAGCCAAAGUGCAUCAAGCCUUGGCAGAUUUGAGGCAGGACAUUGAUGGAGCCAAGUUAAGCUUGGAGGCAUCCAAGGCUGCUGUGGAGGAAACAAAGGCUGACUGGGCUAUGUGCAGAAGUGCUUUCAUGGCAAAAGAGGUUGCCUCGACAUCAACCGUGCAAGCCUGAGACACUGCCCGUGCCUUAGACAUGCCAAAGCCAAAGGAAUACGAUGGAGCUCAGGACGUAUUAGUCAUAGAUAACUACCUUUUGCAUAUGGAGUGCUACUUCGAGGCGCUCAACUUAACAGGAUUAGCCCUGGUACGUACUGCCACCUUACAUUUUACCGACAUGUCUGCACUUUGGUGGCGUAGGAAACGAGCCGACAUUGACAGAGGGCUAGUCGUCAUUGACACUUGGGAAGCCCUAAAGAAAGAGCUCAAGGAGGAGUUCUACCCGGUGCACGUAAGCCGCGAGGGUAGGGCAAAAAUGAGGUACCUCAAGCAGGGCAAUUCUAUCAAGGAGUAUGUUAAGGCAUUCUCCAAUUUAAUGCUGCAAUUGACAACAUGAGCGACGAGGCUAGGGCAAAAUGAGGGACCUCAAGCAGGGCAAUUCUAUCAAGGAGUAUGUCAAGGCAUUCUCCAAUUUAAUGCUGCAAAUCGACAACAUGAGAAAAUGAGGAUCUCUUAUUCAACUUCUUAUCAGGACUUAAACCUUGGGCGGUUCAAGAGUUAAGAUGAUCCAAGGCAGACGACAUUUCGACGGCUCUCAAGUUAGCUGCCACAUUGCAAGACUAUACUAGUGCUGACAAAGGGGUUCAUGUCAAGCACCAAGGUGAUUCAUCCAAGUCCAAGACUCAAAGGACUUGGCCGGUUAAAUGUAGGGGAGCCAAGGACGGAACCCACAAGCCAAAAACCCAUGGAGAUAAGGGGAAACAGGCCAGAGACAACAAGAAAGAGGCCAAACCAAGGGAGGGUUGCUUCCUAUGUCAAGGGCCACACUGGGCUAGGGACUGCCCACAGCGUAAAGCCAUGAGCGCAAUGUUGGAGCAAAAGGAGCAUGGCAAUGAAGCUACAAUGGGGUGUCUUAAGCUGCUUAGCGCAUUGAACGUUAAGACUCAUCACCAGGCGGGCGACAGGAGUCUCAUGUACGUGCAGGGGCACGUCAACAACAAGGUUUCCCACUUAAUGAUUGAUACGGGCGCCACUCACAAUUUCAUGACUCCAACCGAGGCGGAACGGUUGGGACUCAACAACAAGGUUUCCCACUUAAUGAUUGAUACGGGCGCCACUCACAACUUCCUGACUCCAACCGAGGCGGAACGGUUGGGAAUCAAGGUGACAAGCUCCAAGGGUUGGCUCAAGACUGUAAAUGCCGAUGCCAAAUCCGUGGAUGGCGUGGUGAAAGGGACCGAGAUGAAGCUACGCAACUAGUCAGGUAAGGUGGAUUUCUCGGUGGCAACAAUAGACGAUUCUCCAUUGUUCUAGGGAUGGAGUUCCUUUGGCAGUUCAAGGCUGUCCCGUUCCCUAGAUUCAACAUGUUAAUGAUCUUGGAAUGGGAACCAUGCAUGGUCCCUACUGUUGCACCUCCCAAGACAUCCAAAUCUCCUCAACUUAGUGCCAUGCAGCUGCCGAAGGGACUCAAACGUGGGGAGGAGACAUGGUUAGUCGUUCUUCAGCAAGAGGAAGAAGGGGGAGUUUAUGGUGAUAUCCCCGCUUGCAUCAAGAACAUGCUGGAAGAGUUCAAGGACGUGAUGCCACCCGAGUUGCCCCAUAAGCUGCCGCCCAGGCGUGGGGUGGAUCACAAGAUCGAGUUGGAACCAGGGGCUAAGCCACCAGCCAAAGCACCCAACCGGAUGGCGCCACCAGAACUGGAGGAGCUGCGAAAACAGUUGGGGGAAUUGUUGGAGAUGGGCUUCAUCCAACCUUCCAAGGCACCGUAUGGUUCACCGGUGCUAUUCCAACGCAAGGCGGACGGAUCGCAGUGAUUUUGCAUAGACUAUCGGGCUCUCAAUCAUCCAACCUGCCAAAGAACCGUAUGGUUCACCAGUGCUAUUCCAACGCAAGACGGACGGAUCGUAGCGACUUUGCAUAGACUACCGGUCUAAAUAAGGUAACAAUAAAAAAAGUAUCCAAUUCCUCUUAUUUCUGACCUUUUUGAUCAAAUAGGGAAGGCCAAUUAUUACAUAAAGCUUGACCUAAGAUCGGGGUACUAUCAAGUGCGCAUAGCCGAAGGGGACGAGAGCAAGACAACUUGUGUCACUCGAUAUGGGGCAUUUGAAUUCUUGGUGAUGCCCUUUGGCCUGACAAAUGCGCCAGCCACAUUUUGCACUCUCAUGAACGAAAUCCUGCAUCCCUACUUGGACCGGUUUGUGGUGGUCUACUUCGACGACAUAGUCAUAUAUAGCAACACCAUGGAGGAGCAUGUAGAACAUGUACGGACUAUUCUCAAGACCUUGCGGGAUCUCUCAUGAAUGAAAUCCUUCAUCCCUACUUGGACCGGUUCGUGGUGGUCUACUUUGACGAUAUAGUCAUAUAUAGCAACACCUUGGAGGAGCAUGUGUAACAUGUACGGACCGUUCUCAAGACUUUGCGGGACAAUGAGCUUUAUGUAAAGAAGGAGAAGUGCUCAUUUGCCAAGGAAGAAGUGCACUUCCUAGGCCAUGUGAUCAAAGGCGGCAAACUCAUGAUUAGGGGUGUGCAUUCGAUUUAUCGAUUCGAUUUUGACCCUUAUCGAUAAUUACUUAUCGAUUAUCGAUUUGUACAUAUGCCUAUCGUUAUCGUUUAAAGAAGAUCCGGGCGAUCGAGGAAUGGGAGCCACCGACCGAGGUACCAAAGCUUUGAUCUUUCCUUGGUCUUGUGAAUUAUUAUCGGCAUUUCAUUACAGACUAUUCAGCCAAGGCGGCACCACUCAUUGACCUACUCAAGAAGAAGAAGGCUUGGGAAUGGGACGACAAGUGCCAACGUGCCUUUGACAUGCUGAAGAAGGCUGUGACUGAGGAACCGGUACUGGCACUACCUGACGGCGCCAAGGCUUAUGAGGUGCACACAGAUGCGUCUGACUUUUCCAUAGGGGGUGUGCUUAUGCAAGAGGGGCAUCCGAUUUCUUAUGAAAGUCGCAAGUUCAACAACAGCGAGAGGCGCAAUACAGUACAGGAGAAGGAGAUGACUGCAGUGGUGCAUUGCUUGCGAGUUUGGCGACACUACUUGCUCGGGGCAAAGUUCGUGGUGCGCACGGACAAUGUGGCGACAAGUUACUUCCAAACACAGAAGAAACUCAGCCCUAAGUAAGCAAGAUGGCAAGACUUCCUGGCCGAGUUCGACUAUAUGAUGGAGCACAGACCGGGCAAGGCCAACUUUGUGGCGGAUGCACUAAGCCGCAGGGAACAAUGCAGCGACAAGCUACUUCCAAACACGGAAGAAACUCAGCCCUAAGCAAGCAAGAUGGCAAGACUUUUUGGCCGAGUUCGACUAUGUGAUGGAGCACAAACCGGGCAAGGCAAACUUUGUGGCGGAUCCGCUAAGCUGAAAGGCAAAAUUGUCGGCAAGGUCAAGAGUUCAGGUGGAGCUCUUGGAUUUUAUCAAGGCAGGCUUGCCGCAUGAUCCUUUAGCCAAGCAACUUGUGCAGAUGGCUAAAGAUGGGAAAACCAAACAAUUUUGGGUAGAAAGCGACUUGUUGGGCACCAAGGGGCAACGGAUAUAUGUACCCAAAUAAGAGAGGUUGCGCAAAAGUAUCAUUAAAUAGUGCCAUGAUACCGGAUGGGCGGGUCAUCCAGGACAAAAGCGCACUCAGGCAUUGGUAGAGGCUAAAAACUAUUGGCCUUGCAUGCGGGACGACAUCGAGUUAUACGUCAAGACUUGUCUUGUGUGCCAACAGGACAAGGCUUGCAACUGGACAGCAACCCUUGACACCGCAUGGACUUGUCAACAAGUAUACUGGGAAGUGUCCAGCGGCGUUCAAGGCAGCAAAAACUUGGCACGAGCAAACGGACUUAGCUCGGGCAUAUCUUGACAAGGCCUCCAAGAAAAUGAAGAAGUGGGCUGCCAAGAAGAGGAGGCACUUGGAAUUCAACGUGGGAGACUUGGUCAUGCUUAAACUCAACGCCGAGCAACAAAAGAGGCUAUGCAGGUUGUACAAGGGACUAGUUCGGCGCUACAACGUGGGAGAUUUAAUCAUGCUUAAACUCAACGCCGAGCAACAAAAGAGGCCACGUAGGUUGCACAAGGGGCUAAUUCGGCGCUAUGAGGGACCACUCCCCAUCCUUGCCAAGGUGGGAAAGGCUUCUUAUCGGGUGAAGCUGCCACUAAACUCAAGUUACAUCCUGUCUUCCAUGUGAGUUGUCUUAAGCCAUACCACGCAGACAUGGAAGACCCAUCAUGGAAUGAGUCACAUCGGGCACCACCAGCCAUUACCACAUCGUUUCACAAGGAAGUUGAAAGCAUCAUGGCUGACCAGGUGAUUCGGUGACGGUUCAGGAACAUUUGCAUGAGUACCUUAUUAAGUUGAAGGGGCUACCGGAAAGCGAGGCAAGUAUGGAGCCAAAGAAAGCUCUUUGGUAGUUUGAAAAUCAAAUACGGGCAUUCCACGAAGAGUCGAUGAGGGCGUCGACGCAAUAGGUGGGGCAUGUUGUCACGCUCCAUCCUUUUUCUAAGAGGUUAUGCCACGCGGGUGAUGACUAGACGACACGAAGGCGAUGAUUGGCACACGCAUGGCACCCUUUUCUAGACAAGUCUAGAUAUUUCAACAAAUGGAAGACUCUAGACCCAUCUUGUAUAUAAGAUGUUUUUAGAGAUUUGUAAAGUUUUCUAGGCUUUUGAUCUUAGCCAUUGAUUCAAAUAGAUAUUAGCCAUUGGUUAGGGACUCUAGCAACUAUAAAAAGGCUAGCAUUUGGCAUUUUCCAUCAUAGAAGAAGAUAGAAGACAUAGAAGAAAACAAUCAAGCAAUCCAACACUCUUGUACAAAGUUCUCUUGUUUAAUACAAAGUUUUCUCACAAGCUUCUCUUCUUAGCUUCUCUUAGCUUUGUUGUGGUAUUAAUUCGGGGAAAGGCUGACUUAGCACAUCGCAGGGGAGAAUUGUGACAAAGGCCGCACGGAAGACAGCUAGGGAGUUAUCAGGUCUGUGACAACGGGGCCUUUAUUGGCUCCUAUCUAUCCAAAGAAUGCUCCUUACGAAUGACGGUCUUGCUCGCCUUGGACUUGGCCGUGCCCUUUUGGGUCGGCCACGCUCAUGCGACGCCGGCGUCAAUGGGGAAUGCUACCUGGUUGAUCCUGCCAGUAGUCAUAUGCUUGUCUCAAAGAUUAAGCCAUGCAUGUGUAAGUAUGAACAAAUUCAGACUGGGGAAUGCUACCUGGUUGAUCCUGCAAGUAGUCAUAUGCUUGUCUCAAAGAUUAAGCCAUACAUGUGUAAGUAUUAACAAAUUAAGACUGUGAAACUGCGAAUGGCUCAUUAAAUCAGUUAUAGUCUGUUUGAUGGUAUCUACUACCCGGAUAACCGUAGUAAAUAUACAGCUAAUACGUACAACAAACCCCAGCUUCUGGAAGGGAUGCAUCUAUUAGAUAAAAGGUCAACACGGGCUCUGCCCGUUUCUGCGAUGAUUCAUGAUAACUCGACGGAUCGCACGGCCAUCAUACCAGCGACGCAUCAAUCAAAUUUCUACCCUAUAAACUUGGGCGUGAUGGCCUUGUCAUUAGCCUAUGUGCGAGCAAAACGAUCAUGCGGGUCGACAAGCUGUGGUGGAAAAUUGUUGGCCAAGGCCUUGGCAUGGUCAAGGUGCGCUUGGAAAAGGCUUGAAGAGGCAGCAUCAGCAAUGGUUGGGCGGCAUAGCACGGCAUGCGCGCCAAACUCAAUGGCAUGACACUCUUGGGUUGUGGCAGCUAUGUGCGGGCUAAGCUAAGGCGAUGCGAAAAUGCGGGUUGACGGCAAAGGCUUUCAAUAGCUAAGACUAGGCUAUGGGAAAAAGAAUACAAGCAAUGGCAUGAGGGAAAUUAGGUUGGCACGGACAAGGCAAAAAACUAGGCCAAGGCAGUGUGCGGGUGUAUGGGCGCCGGGCGUGUGCGGAAACAUCAUGGCAGCGGAUUGCCGGCAAGACAUUGGCAUGGGCAAUGUCUAAUUAAUCCAAGGAAUGGCACGGGCAGCCUUGGGGGCGAAAUUAAGCUGGCCUAGGAAAUGGCACAUGCAAAGCACAUGGAAAGCGGUUGGCAGCGGUUACCUUGUUUGUAGGCCAUGAUCUCCCAUGAUCUCCCAUUAUCCCAUGAACUGAUUAUUGUUUGUACUGUGGCCCCAUUUCGUGCAUAAUGAUCCUAAGUAGUUUGGGAUGUCAACUACAAGUUAGGAGCAUGAUGUAAAGAUGUUAGACAACAAGUGUCAUGAGCGGUUAAUUUUAAAGGCCUAUAAAUAGGACCUUUAACUUAGGCAGAAAUACGUAUAAUGAUCCUAAGUAGUUGGGGAUGCCAACUACAAGUUAGGAGCAUGAUUUAAGCUUAGUCCGACAAGUGGCAAAAGCUGUUUGACAAUAAGUGUCAUGGGCGGUUAAGUUUAAGGGCCUAUAAAUAGGACCCCUAACUUAAGCAAAACAACGAAGUAAGUUCAAGGGAAUUACUUGUGGGAAAAUAGAGUAAGUUCAAGGGAAUUACUUCGUGGGAAACAAUAGAGAAACGUGAGGUUUUUCUAGUGUUUCCAAAAGGGGGCUAAGGUUGUGCAUGGGCAGAUCUUAGUGUUUGCCAAGAACGACCAGGUGUUCUUCGUCAAAAGUGGGCUGUGAGCGGACGGAUAGUUCAUAGCAAUUGAGGGUCCUUCGUAUAUUUUCUAUAUUAAUGCAAAGGUUGAGAAUUUGUCAUGUAUAUGUUUUUGUUCCUUUAAAAUUCUAAUUUGUUGCCUAAAUUUCGUCUAAGGUCAAACUUGCUUAAAAUUGCAAGUGUUUCGGAAGGCUGAGUCAAGCACGGGACUUGACUGCCGCACGUGUGUGGUUUUGGACUAGGUCAAAAACGCCCCCGUGACACCUACCAUGGUGGUGACGGGUGACGGAGAAUUAGGGUUCGAUUCCGGAGAUGGAGCCUCAGAAAUGGCUACCAGCUCCAAGGAACGCAGCAGGCAUGCAAAUUACCCAAUCCUGACAUGGGGAGGUAGUGACAAUAAAUAACAAUACCGGGCUUUAUGAGUCUGGUAAUUGGAAUGAGUACAAUCUAAAUCCCUUAACGAGGACCCAAUCCUGACAUGGGGAGGUAGUGACAAUAAAUAACAAUACCGGGCUUUAUGAGUCUAGUAAUUAGAAUGAGUACAAUCUAAAUCCCUUAAUGAGGAUCGAUCAGAGAGCAAGUCUGGUGCCAGAAGCCGCGGUAAUUCCAGCUCCAAUAGGGUAUAUUUAAGUUGUUGCAGUUAAAAAGCUCGUUAUUGGACUUUAGGAUGGGCCGGCCGUCCGCCUUAGGUGUGCACCGGUCGUCUCGUCCCUUUUGCCGGUGAUGCCCUCUUGGCCUUAAUUGGCCGGGUCGUGCCACCGGCGCUGUUACUUUGAAGAAAUUAGAGUGCUCAAAGCAAGCCUACGCUCUGUAUACAUUAGCAUGGGAUAACAUUAUAGGAUUUCGGUCCUAUUACGUGGUCGUGCCACCGGCGCUGUUAC